GUUUAUAGUCACACCACCCUGAGCGCGCCCAAUCUUGUCUGGUCUGGAAAGCUAAGCAUGGUUUGGCUGGCUUUAGUACUUGGAUGAAGACAGAUCUUCAGAGGAGACUGCUCAGAGACAAGCA
rnacentral:rRNA from 1 species